GGGACUAACGAUGGGAAUUGAUUCUCUUUUCUGA
rnacentral:tRNA from 1 species